CCUAUAGGGCCAUUGUCCCUAAUAGGGCCAUUGUUCCUUAUUGGGGUCACUGUUCCCUCUAGGUCCGGCCCUGAGCCCAGCUGUGCCCCCCCAUGGUCAGGCCCACAGCUGGUCACCCCAUAGCGCUGUUUGGAGCCCCCAUAUAUGGGGGCUGGACAAGAUGGCGCCGCAGGGGCAGUGCCGCUACCAGCGCCGCUGGGUCACGCUGGACUCGCAGUGUCUGCGCUACUUCCACAGUGACAAGGUGGGGGGGGGCAACGGGAGGGGACACUAUGGGACCCCAUCAAUGGGACCCCAAUGGGACCCAGCCCCCCCCAAUGGGGACCUCCAAUGGACUGUGCUGGGUCAA
rnacentral:lncRNA from 1 species